ensembl:lncRNA
AGUCGCUAAGGGUCGGACACGACUGAGCGACUUCACUUUCACUUUUCACUUUUCAUGCAUUGGAGAAGGAAAUGGCAACCCACUCCAGUGUUCUUGCCUGGAGAAUCCCAGGGAUGGGGGAGCCUGGUGGGCUGCUGUCUAUGGGGUCACACAGAGUUGGACACGACUGAAGCGACUUAGCAGCAGCAGCAGAACAACCUUAUUCCAGAUAAGGUUACAUUCCGAGGUGCUGGGUUAGGACUUCAGUGUGGAUUUGGAGGGGACUCAGUCAGCCCCUGACAGAGCCUCCCAGUGUUGGGACAGCUCCACCUUGACGAGCACUGCGUCCUACAGAAAGCAGAGUCAGGACCCAGUUCAGGCUGGGUUGGAAUUCUGACUGCAGGGUCCUUGGGCAGGUUGCCCUGAUUUCCAGUCUACAAGAAGGAGAUGAAAUCAACACUCCAGGUAUGGAAUCAAGUCAAAUGCGAUCAGGCCCACCCACUGUCUGGUAAGUCUCAGCAUGGUAUUAGCACCACCCCUCUCUUGACCCUCUUCCCUGUCUCCCCCUCCUCUGGGCUCUGCCUCAUGGGACACGGCUCCGUGCUCACAUGCACUCAUUUCCUAGGACUUGCACAUUCUUGAGACUUACAUCAACCCGUUGGUGUGCAAUGGGGCUGAAUCCAGACUCUUCUGGGAGCAGUUCCAAAAGCUAGUUAUUUGAGAACAGAUUUUUAAAACUCAGUUGAGAGCCUGAUCCUCCCUGUAUCUAUUCCUGAGACUAUCUAUUUCCCUCUUCCACCCAUUAUUGAGAAAUGGGACCCCAGGAACCCAGAAGGUCUCCAACCGAUCAGCAUGGAUUAAGUUCUUUAGAAAGCAUGCUUUGACAUGAUUACUAAGAGCAAUCAUUUGUGUGGAGCUGUCACCUCCUACCACUGUUCCUCUGAGUGAAGGGACUCCUCAGGGGUGAAGAGCUUGCUGAUGAGAGAGCUCUAUGGCUGACUGUUUGCUAGCACUGGGGAAAUAGUUAAGUUUCUUUCUGCAGGACUUCUCAGAGCCUUUAGUAUGCUAAUGAGCAUCAAGACUCUCUGUGAAAGUGAAAAAGUUAGUUGCUCAUUUAUGUCCAACUCUAUCCAUGGACAGAGGAGCCUGGCAGGCUACAAUCCAUGGGAUUCUCCAGGCAAGAAUACUGGAGUGGGUUGCAUUCCCUUCUCCAGGGGAUCUUUCCGACCCAGGGAUCAAACCCAGGUCUCCCACAUUGUAGGCAGAUUCUUUACUGUCUGAGCCACAAGGAAGCUGGUUCAAGACUCUGUAUCAGCUAUAAUUCAGUUCUCCUGCAAGUGAUGGAAACCCCAGAUGACAAUGGCUCCAUUCAAGUUAGAGGAGUUUAUUUCUCUCUCACUGAAUCACAGUGCAGAGGCCAGCAGUUCCAUCAUCAGCCGAAACCUAACACCUUUCUAACUUGUCGCUCUUGCCUUCUCAACACAGGCUUCUACCUCGUAAUCCCAGAGGGCUGCUGAUGCACCAGCCAUUAUGUCAGAAAUACCUUCGCAAAUAUUCAUCGGAAGGACUGAUGCUGAAGCUGAAGUGCCAGUACUUGGGCCACCUGAUGCAAAGAGCCAACCCAUUGGAAGAGACCCUGAUGGGAAAGAUUGAAGGCAGGAAGAAAAGGGGAUGACAGAGGAUGAGAUGGUUGGAUGCCAUCAUCAAUUCAGUGGACAUGAGUUUGAGCAAACUCUGGGACAUAGUGAUGGACAGGGAAGCCUGGUGUGCUGCUGUCCAUGGCGUCGCAAGGAGUCGGACAUGACUGAGCAACUGAACAACUGUCUGCGUACUUCAUUCAUUAGAAUACUGGUGUGGCACACGCCUCCACAUGGACGCAGAGGCAUGCAGGCUAACAUGGUUUAUCCUCCAAAUUGGUCAGCAUCAAGAGAAGAAGAAGCAGUGAGGGGUGCUGGGCAUCCUUGCCCCCUUCCCGGGAAGUGGGCCUCUGCCAGCUCCAGACCAGGGGAAACCAAACUUGGACAAUCCUGGGGAAGGUGGCCUGACAGCAAGGGCCUUAAAAUGUUCCCUCCCUCCCUCCCUCACCAGGUAGCACUGAGCUCCCACCAGGGAUCAGGUACUGGGGCUUCCUUGCUCGGGGGAGGAGUCAUACAGGAAAUAAACACCUGGAGAGGGCUAGAGACCAACAGAGGACAGAUAAAAAGUACAGUGUGUACCCACGGAUGAGAAUUCAGACUUGAACAUCCUGACACGCGGAUGAACCUACAGGACGUGAUGCCGAGGGAAGUAAGCUGGUCAUAGAAGGAUAAACAUCGAAUGGUCCCACUCACAGAGGCCCCUGGAGGAGUCAGCUUCCCAGAGACAGGAAGUGAGAAUGGUGGGGGCCAGGGGCAGAGUCGGGGUGAUGGGAAAUGAAAUAAACCGUG